rnacentral:rRNA from 1 species
GACCUCAAAUCAGGUAGGACUACCCGCUGAACUUAAGCAUAUCAUAAGCCGGGGGGAAGGAGUAGUGAGUAACUUGAGCAGGCUGUUGCUGGCCCUCUUUGGGGGGUAUGUGCCGCUUGUCAUCUUUAUUCUCACUUGUGCACAUUAUUGUAACUGGAGUUGAAUUUCUUUUCAGUGGGAUGCGGGGUUCUCGCUUUCUUUUUAGGUCUAUGUCUUUUUUC